CAGUCGCCACGGUAACACGAAGGGGGCUAGCGUUGUUCGGAUUUACUGGGCGUAAAGGGCGCGUAGGCGGGCGAAUAAGUCAGGGGUGAGAUCCCAAGGCUCAACCUUGGAACUGCCUUUGAUACUGUUUGUCUUGAGUUCGAGAGAGGUAAGUGGAACUGCGAGUGUAGAGGUGAAAUUCGUAGAUAUUCGCAAGAACACCAGUGGCGAAGGCGGCUUACUGGCUCGAAACUGACGCAGAGGCGCGAAAGCGUGGGGAGCAAACAGGAUUAGAUACCCCCGUAGUCCCUGUCUCUUAUAC
rnacentral:rRNA from 1 species